UUCUAAUACUCUGUGAUACCAAAGACUACGAGACGUAAUUUGGAACCAUGUGUUCUCCAUAACCAUUUACGAUCUGUUGCUAUACAUGAAACCAGAAUGGAGGACGAUGAUGAGAGUAGAGUGUUAAUCGAAGAAGAUUAUUACACGUUUUUUAAUAUUCCAAGAAAUGCAACGAACGAAGAGAUCAAUAAUGCCUAUCGUCGAAACAGUCGCCUAUAUCACCCGGACAAACAUGUCGAACCCAUUCGUAAGAAAGAAGCAGAAAUACUUUUCAACAAGACUAAGAAAGCUUAUGAAGUUUUGAGUGAUCCACAUCAAAGAGCAAUUUAUGACAGCCUUGGGACUCGUGGACUAGAAACUGAGGGAUGGGAAGUAGUUCAGCGAACCAAAACACCUCAAGAAAUACGAGAAGAAUAUGAAAGAUUAGCAAGAGAGAGAAAUGAAAGGAAAUUGCAGCAGAGGACAAAUCCAAAAGGGAGUGUGACAGUCAGUGUAAAUGCUACAGACCUUUUCAGCAGGUACAAGGAUGACUUCGAAUAUGAUGAGAGUGAACAUUUACAUUUUCCUACUAUUGAGGUCAGUGGGAUGUCCAUUACUCAGUCUAUUGAGGCUCCUCUUACUCUGCGUGACACAAUGACCAUGUCGGGGCAACUGUCGACACAGAAUGGGACAGGAAGCGGCUCUGUGGACGUGUCUGUGCGUCGCUUGCUGUCUGAAAAGGGCUGGCUUGAGCUGGACAUAGGAGCUGGCAAUGGACCCACAUUCUCGGUGAAGGGAUUUCGUACGCUCAGUAAACGGACAUUCAGUAAUAUGGCGACCACCUUUCAGAUCACGCCUCAUGGAAUAAGGCCAGGUCUCAUCACUACACUGGCAACUCAGUUGGAUAAGCAUACUGUGGGCUACUUGACGUGGCGAGCAGGACACCAGUCAUCCAUGUCGACCACGAUAGUACGAGACACGAUGACUUCUCACGCGGCUUUCUCCAUCCAGUUUGGCAUCCCCCACUCUUUUUUCUCCCUAAGCUACACUCAUAAAUUCGAGGAGAUGGAGCUUAAGUUGCGGGGAUCUGUCAAGGCAGGAACAUUUGGUGCAAUAAUGGAAUAUGGAGCUGAGAAGAAGGUAUCUCAGCACAGCUGGUUGGCAGCUUCAGUAGCUGUUGGUGUUCCAUCUGGCGUAACACUGAAAAUCAAGCUGAGUCGAGCAAACCAGACGUACAUGUUCCCAAUUCACUUGAGCGACGAGCUUAUUCCAAGUCCUGUAUUCUAUGCUACUGUGACUCCAGUUGUUAUUUGGGCUGUUGUCAAGAAACUUAUUGUGGAUCCAAUUGUUCUUGAACAGAAGCAGCGAGACAAGGAGAAACAGCGUGAACUGAACAAAACGAGAAUGGCAGAGAAAAAGAAAGAGGCCUCGGCAGCGGUGGAACUGAUGCGAGCUACGUUUGCUCGUGUACGGAGUAAUGAAGAGGCAAAGAGAGGUCUCGUUAUCAUAAAGGCUCUGUAUGGACGACACAUGGAUGUUGCUGAUCUCGGCAGAAGAGGGAGUGGAGAGGAGGAAGGCAGAGAAGCUGGUACUACUGCUGACCUGGAGCACCUGGAUGAGGUGAUUGAUGUAACGAUUCCACUCCAGUGCCUUGUCAAGGACUCAAAACUCACACUUCAUGAUGCAUCCAAGAGUCAGUUACCUGGGUUCUAUGACCCCUGCAUGGGUGAGGAGAAAUCACUGUUAGUGCAUUACCUCUUCCACAGUCAUGUCCAUGAAACUGUUAUAGAGGACAACGAGGUUCUCAGGAUACCAAAACAAUCACACCGGGUGAAUGCAACUUAACAACACUGAAGUACAUAGUCAAUUUUUCUUAGUUCAAGACUUGUAUCUUUGAAACGAACUUGUUCAGCUAUCAUCUGAAGUUUGCUGCAUGCUGUGGCUCUUACAAGAACAUCAGCCUGCAAAUAGAAACAAUUGUCAACAUUUCAGCACAAGUUCAGUGUCUUCCUGGAACAGUAGAUAGUUACUGAGCUCUUCAACAGAUUUCUUAUUGUUAUGGAACCUGAAAAUUCAUCACCCAUCUCACAAAAACCGUCCAUUAAACUUUCUACCAACCAGGAGAAUCCACUUUGUAGCUUCAUAACCUAUUUUUCUAAAAUCCAUGUUUUAUAAAUAUUUUUUAUUUCAUCACCAUUAGAUGCAAAAAUUCUCAGUACUUCGUAACGACAACAGGAGAAGUCGAGGUGAUAGUGAAUAAAGCAGGUUGAUUACUUGAUGAUCGUAAUGGUUGAAUGAAUAUGAACUGUCUACAACAAAACAAUUGGGAUGAUAGUAUAUUUAAGCAUGUAAAUUUGUAUAAGGGGAAAAAUAUAUACAUUGUGCUCA